GUUUCCUGGAAAAAUAACAGCUUUUUUGGAGAUAAAAUUUUUUGUAUUAUAUCAGCACAGAGGGCCCGAGAGGAAAAAUACCCCAGGUCGGAAUUCAGCCUUGGCAACUCAACAUCCGAUCUUGGUCUAUACUGAAAUACUCCAUGGUGCUCAUGAGGUCGUCAAAAGCGCCAGGUUAAAAACGAUGAGAACCGACAAAAUAUUUGUAUGAAUUCGACGACAAUUAAAUGGUUUUUGCUUCCCA